AUACUCACCUGGCAGGGGAGAUACCAUGAUCAUGAAGGUGGUUUUCCCAAGGUGAGGCUUAUCCAUUGCCCUCCGGAUGUGCUGACCCCUGUGACAUCCCCAAACAUGGGAAACUUGACUGCAUAAUUUGUAGUAGUGGGGGACUGCAUUUGCACUCUCCAU
rnacentral:snRNA from 1 species